AAGUCGUAACAUGUUUCCGUAGGUGAACCUGCGGAAGGAUCAUUAACACGUAUCCAACGUUAAACCCCCCGUGCACACAGCGACCUGCUCCCUCAAUAAAGUAGUAGUCAAUGCAAAGCAACCUGGUUUCUUUGAAGCAAGAAAGUGUGAGCCGGAGAACGGACCGAGUGGUAGUUCGCCUUCUGUCGCGCACUGUGGAAAGGAAGACGCUUUACGAAUCACUGUCCAACACGGUCAGUGACCGGGUUCCUGGUCCUAGACCCCAUAUUCACCACCACAGUCGCAGACGAGGUAGGGAUACGUCCCUACCACCAAAUAAAUACUUGAACAACUGUUAACAAUGGAUAUCUUGGUUCUC
rnacentral:misc_RNA from 1 species